AGCAGCAGCCGCGGGAAUACAGAGGGUGCGAGCGUUAAUCGGAUUUACUGGGCGUAAAGCGUGCGUAGGCGGCUAAUUGAGUCGGAUGUGAAAUCCCCGAGCUUAACUUGGGAAUUGCAUUCGAUACUGGUUAGCUAGAGUGUGGGAGAGGAUGGUAGAAUUCCAGGUGUAGCGGUGAAAUGCGUAGAGAUCUGGAGGAAUACCGAUGGCGAAGGCAGCCAUCUGGCCUAACACUGACGCUGAGGUACGAAAGCAUGGGGAGCAAACAGGAUUAGAUACCCGUGUAGUCCCUGUCUCUUAUAC
rnacentral:rRNA from 1 species